rnacentral:rRNA from 1 species
CAUGCAAGUCGAACGAUGAAGCCGGGGCUUUUUGUUUUGGUGGAUUAGUGGCGAACGGGUGAGUAAUACGUGAGUAACCUGCCCUUGUCUUUGGGAUAAGCCUGGGAAACUGGGUCUAAUACCGGAUAUUCUGCUUUUGCCGCAUGGUGGGGGUUGGAAAGAUUUUUUGGAUGGGGAUGGGCUCACGGCCUAUCAGCUUGUUGGUGGGGUGAUGGCCUACCAAGGCGUCGACGGGUAGCCGGCCUGAGAGGGUGACCGGCCACAUUGGGACUGAGAUACGGCCCAGACUCCUACGGGAGGCAGCAGUGGGGAAUAUUGCACAAUGGACGCAAGUCUGAUGCAGCGACGCCGCGUGGGGGAUGACGGCUUUCGGGUUGUAAACUCCUUUCAGUACAGAAGAAGCAUUUUUGUGACGGUAUGUGCAGAAGAAGCGCCGGCUAACUACGUGCCAGCAGCCGCGGUAAUACGUAGGGCGCGAGCGUUGUCCGGAAUUAUUGGGCGUAAAGAGCUCGUAGGCGGUUUGUUGCGCCUGCUGUGAAAGACCGGGGCUUAACUUCGGGGUUGCAGUGGGUACGGGCAGACUAGAGUGUGGUAGGGGUAAUUGGAAUUCCUGGUGUAGCGGUGGAAUGCGCAGAUAUCAGGAGGAACACCGAUGGCGAAGGCAGGUUACUGGGCCAUUACUGACGCUGAGGAGCGAAAGCGUGGGUAGCGAACAGGAU